CAAAAUCAGUGACCUGCAACGACCGAGCAAGUGGCAACCAACUAAGAGGAACAAAUGAGACUGUGCUAGGAUAAUCAAUAUGACGAACGAUCGACGGAUGAUGAGGAGAGACGAAAUCCAAUUGAUGGAGACCAAGCGAUAAACUGAGAGGACGAUCGACCAAUUGAUGACGACGAGAACAAUAUGUGACCGAGAAUCAAGCAGAAAUUGUUAUAACCAUUAAUAUUUUGAGGAGAACAUAAACUUUGCUGUCCAUCCAUCAGUACAAGGUGGUCCUCACAAAAAUCGCAUUGCUGCUCUUGCCAUAGCCUUGAAACAAGCGGCAACUCCAAAGGACAAAGCAUAUAUGCAGCAGGUGAAUGAAAAUGCCCUGGCCCUAGCAUCUGCUUUAUUGAGAAGAAAAUGCAAAUUGGUGACUGGGGGCACUGACAACCAUUUGUUGAUGUGGGAUCUGACUACUUGAGGCUUAAGAGGUAUUUGAAGAUACAAGUGAAUUAUGAAAUAUUUGAUUGUAUGUGAUAUAUAGAUUUUUAUGUUACUUAUAACAAUUUUUUAGUUUUGAUUAUUGAAAGAGAUU